UACGCAGGGGGCAAGCGUUGUCCGGAAUUAUUGGGCGUAAAGAGCGUGUAGGCGGUCCGGUAAGUCCGCUGUGAAAGUCGGGGGCUCAACCCUCGAAUGCCGGUGGAUACUGUCGGGCUAGAGUGCGGAAGAGGCGAGUGGAAUUCCUGGUGUAGCGGUGAAAUGCGCAGAUAUCAGGAGGAACACCUAUUGCGAAGGCAGCUCGCUGGGACGUAACUGACGCUGAGACGCGAAAGCGUGGGGAGCAAACAGG
rnacentral:rRNA from 1 species